UACGGAGGGUGCAAGCGUUUAUCCGGAUUCACUGGGUUUAAAGGGUGCGUAGGCGGAUUAGUAAGUCCGUGGUGAAAUCUCCGAGCUUAACUCGGAAACUGCCAUGGAUACUAUUAAUCUUGAAUGUUGUGGAGGUAAGCAGAAUAUGUCAUGUAGCGGUGAAAUGCUUAGAUAUGACAUAGAAAUACCUAAUUGCGAAGGCAGCUUACUACGCAGAUAUUGACGCUCAUGCACGAAAAGCGUGGGGGAUCAAACAGG
rnacentral:rRNA from 1 species